UACGGGGGGUGCGAGCGUUGUCCGGAAUCACUGGGCGUAAAGGGCGCGUAGGUGGCCUGAUAAGGGUGUGGUGAAAGUCCGGGGCUUAACCCCGGAUCUGCCGUGCCGACUGUUAGGCUAGAGUGCUGUAGGGGCAGGCGGAAUUCCGGGUGUAGCGGUGAAAUGCGCAGAUAUCAGGAGGAACACCGGUGGCGAAGGCGGGUCUCUGGGCCGAUAUCGACGCUGAGGAGCGAAAGCGUGGGGAGCGAACAGG
rnacentral:rRNA from 1 species